AUCUAACUGACGAGUCCCAAACAGGGCGAGACGCGCAUCCUGGAU
rfam:Trichobilharzia regenti genome assembly, scaffold: TRE_scaffold0024234